GUCGAAUCACGGCUGCUGCGAAGGGUCUAGUUCCGGACACUAGAGUCCGCUCUGCGGGUCCGACGGUCACACCUACUCCCAGAUCUGCCGCCUGCAGGAGGCGGCCCGCGCUCGGCCCGAUGCCAACCUCACUGUGGCACACCCGGGGCCCUGCGAAUCGGACUGGAUGCCUUUUCUGGGCCAUGCUAUUCUCAGACCUCCCACCUUCACCCCCAGGGCCCCAGAUCGUGUCACAUCCAUAUGACACUUGGAAUGUGACAGGGCAGGAUGUGAUCUUUGGCUGUGAGGUGUUUGCCUACCC
rnacentral:sRNA from 1 species